AUGGUGACGAACUCCUCUGCGGCCUCGGUUCGGCUGAUGCUGAUCCUCCUUGUUUUGCUGGUUUUCCUUAGCGGUAUCCUCGCACGUGGACCGUCCACUUGCGUCAACAACCCGGCGGUUCAGCGAGACUGCCCGCCGAUCCGUGGUGGCCGCUGA
rnacentral:rRNA from 1 species